ensembl:rRNA 5S_rRNA 5S ribosomal RNA
ACCUAAGACCAAACCACUAUGAACACAACUAAUCUCUUCUGAUCUCAAGAAGCUAAGCAGGCAAGGGCCUGUUAAUACUUGCAUAGGAGACAAAGCUGUGAUAAUCCAAGUAUUAUUGUCC